AUAACUUUGGUUUCAGAAUCUUUCUUUACCCAGCCAAUUUUAUAUGGAUGAGGAUGCUUAUCUGUCUUCAGUCCUAAUUUUCGUACCAUUGAAGAAGACACAAUAUUUUUGCUUCUUCCAGAGUCUAUGAUAACAUCACAGAUUUUACCAUUCACUGUGCACCUUGUCCUGAAUAUGUUGUGUCUCUGAGGAUGUUCUUCUUUCUUGGGUGUGUACAUCACCCUCCUGACAACUAAAGAACAAGCAUAUUCUUCAUUUUCAUCACCAUCAACAACAUUUUCUUGAACUUCUUCUUGAUUUUCUUCU
rnacentral:lncRNA from 1 species